ACUCCUACGGGAGGCAGCAGUGGGGAAUUUUGCGCAAUGGGGGAAACCCUGACGCAGCAACGCCGCGUGAGUGAUGAAGGCCCUUGGGUCGUAAAGCUCUGACAGAGGGAAAGAAGUGUAGAGUGGCUAAUAUCCACAUUACUUGACGGUACCCUCAAAGGAAGCACCGGCUAACUCCGUGCCAGCAGCCGCGGUAAUACGGGGGGUGCAAGCGUUGUUCGGAUUUAUUGGGCGUAAAGCGCGUGUAGGCGGUUUUAUAAGUCUGAUGUGAAAGCCCUGGGCUCAACCCGGGAAGUGCAUUGGAUACUGUAAGACUUGAAUACGGGAGAGGGCAGUGGAAUUCCUAGUGUAGGAGUGAAAUCCGUAGAUAUUAGGAGGAACACCGGUGGCGAAGGCGGCUGCCUGGACCGAUAUUGACGCUGAGACGCGAAAGCGUGGGUAGCAAACAGGAUUAGAUACCCUGGUAGUCCACGCCGUAAACGAUGAGAACUAGGUGUUGCGGGUA
rnacentral:rRNA from 1 species